rnacentral:rRNA from 1 species
UACGGGGGGGGCAAGCGUUGUUCGGAAUUACUGGGCGUAAAGGGCUCGUAGGUGGCCAACUAAGUCAGACGUGAAAUCCCUCGGCUUAACCGGGGAACUGCGUCUGAUACUGGAUGGCUUGAGUUCGGGAGAGGGAUGCGGAAUUCCAGGUGUAGCGGUGAAAUGCGUAGAUAUCUGGAGGAACGCCGGAGGCGAAAGCGGCGCACUGGAUCUCUACUGACGCUGAGGCGCGAAAGCCAGGGGAGCAAACGGG